GCCUGAUCCUUCCUCUGGAAGCUUCAUCCCAGAGGGGCACCCGCCUAUAUGAGGUAUCUCUUGGCCCCUACUGGGAAGUGUCUCCCAGUUAGGCUACACGGGAGUCAGGGACCCACUUGAGGAGGCAGUUUGUCCAUUCUCAGAGCUCAAACACCAUCCUGGGAGAACCAUCGCAGUCUUCAGAGCUGUCAGACUCGGGCAUUUAAGUCUGUAGAAGUUGUCUGCUGCCUUUUGUUCAGCUAUGCCCUGACCACAGAGGUGGAGUCUAUAGAGGUGUUAGGCCUUGCUGAGAUGCGGUGGGCUCCACCCAGUUUGAGCUUCCUGGCUGCUUUGUUUACCUACUCAAGCCUCAGCAAUCGCAGACGUCCCUUCCCCAGCCAGGCUGCCACCUCGCAGUUCAAUCUCAGACUGCUGUGCUAGCAGUGGGGAAGGCUCCGUGGGCAUGGAAACUGCCGAGCCAGGCACAGUAGAGAAUCACCUUGUCUGCCGGUUGCUAAGACCUUUGGAAAAGUGCAGUAUUUGGGUGAGAGUGUCCUAUUUUUCCAGGUACAGUCUGUCACGUCUUCCCUUGGCUAGGAAAGGGAAAUCCCCCGACCCCUUACACUUUCCGGGUGAGGCAACGCCCCACUCUGCUUCAGCUCACCCUCCAUGGGCUGCACUCACCUUCCAACCAGUCUCAAUGAGAUGAACCAGGUACCUCAGUUGGAAAUGCAGAAAUCACCCGUCUUCUGCGUCAAUCACGCUGAGAACUGCAGACCAGAGCUGUUCCUAUUUGGCCAUCUUGGAACCGGUCUGAGUCUGUUUUAGCCAGAUCAAGUACUUGGUGAGAGAACCUUUGUGGGAGCGCAGAAGUCCAGCAGAGAGACCCUAGCACUUUAUUUGGACCAAAAAAUAAAUAAUAAAUAAAUAAAUAAAUAAAUCCAAAACUAGAUGCAUUAAAGAAGGUUAGACUUCUCCUAUGGAGAAUGCAGCAAGAAAAUACCAUCUUGAAGCAGAGAGCAGCGCUCAUCAGGCAUCAGUCCUUCUGGAGCCUUGAUCUUGGACCUCCCAGCUCCAAAAUAAUAAGUAAUAAAUUGUUAUUGCUUAUAAAUU
rnacentral:lncRNA from 10 species